CCUGGGUCAGGUCCGACUCCUUGAGUUUAGCAAUAGGCUGGUGUCCCAGGGGCAGGGGAGGUGGGGGCUGCUAGCCCCUUCCCUGAGUCCUGUGACUAGCUGGGCAGAGGCCCCCCCCCCACCAGAUGACCAGAGCGCCAGUCCCACUUCCUUCCAAACGGCACCCUGAGGCAGGGCCAGAGAAGUCAGUGUCCCCUCGAGAGGCAGGCAUCACGUCACUCAGGGCGCCCGCUGCUGAGGUCUGCUCUCCAGCGGUCCUUCAACAACGCCCUCUGAGCACCGGGCCCGGGGAGGGCAAGCUUCCCUGUGCACCUAGAGUCCGCUGUCUGGGGUUGGGGUAGGACGGAAAGCAAAGCCAACUGAUGAGGAGCAUGUGGAAGAAAAGGCACAAAUGCCACCUCGAGGGUUUGCAACAGCACGUGAGCACCUCCGAGGAGCCCCAGGGCUCCCGCUGGUGAGAGCGCUGGGAGGUGCUCAGCCCAAGACUCUGGGCGACGCGGGACAACAUCGUUGAGGCUUUUGUUUUGACUCCUUGUGUAUCUCAUGCUAGUGAAGACCCUGACUGACCGUCACUCUGGCGGGUCACAGCCAGGAUCACGCCAGCAACACGAUCUCUCCCCGGAGUCAAACCAGAAGCACAGGGGAAGCCCCCCUCCCAGGGGCAGCACCAACCUGAACGCCCGCAUUUCCCUACCAUCGCCUUCCCUGGACAUUAGCAUUCCUUCAGCUCUGGCCCUCCGAUGAGUGAGUAACUGAGGUUUGUUGGCGCUGCUGUUUCUUGUGUCUUAA